GUCUACAGCCAUGCUACCCUGAUCAAGCCCGAUCCCGUCUGAUCUCGGAAGCUAAGCAGGGUCGAGCCUGGUUAGUACUUAGAUGGGAGACCACCUAGGAAGACCAGGUACUGUAGGUG
rnacentral:rRNA from 1 species